GUCUCGGUAGCUCAAUGGUAGAGCGAGCGACUGUUAAUCGCGAGGUUGUUGGUUCGAGUCCAAUUCGGGACG
rnacentral:tRNA from 2 species